rnacentral:rRNA from 1 species
UACGUAGGGUGCAAGCGUUAUCCGGAAUUAUUGGGCGUAAAGAGCUCGUAGGCGGUUUGUCGCGUCUGCUGUGAAAACCCGAGGCUCAACCUCGGGCCUGCAGUGGGUACGGGCAGACUAGAGUGCGGUAGGGGAGACUGGAAUUCCUGGUGUAGCGGUGGAAUGCGCAGAUAUCAGGAGGAACACCGGUGGCGAAGGCGGGUCUCUGGGCCGAUACUGACGCUGAGGAGCGAAAGCGUGGGGAGCGAACAGG